UACGUAGGGUGCAAGCGUUGUCCGGAAUUAUUGGGCGUAAAGAGCUCGUAGGCGGUCUGUCGCGUCGGCUGUGAAAACCCGGGGCUCAACCCCGGGCCUGCAGUCGAUACGGGCAGACUAGAGUGCGGUAGGGGAGACUGGAAUUCCCGGUGUAGCGGUGAAAUGCGCAGAUAUCGGGAGGAACACCAAUUGCGAAGGCAGCUCGCUGGGACGAUACUGACGCUGAGGCGCGAAAGCGUGGGGAGCAAACAGG
rnacentral:rRNA from 1 species